CAUGUCCUUAUCUUGUCCCCUCCCCCUUCUCCCUUCUUUUUCUAGCUGUUCGUGCAAGAGCAUUUUUAAGUGAACUUGGUGCACGCAUCACAGGGACCCAAGUGGUUGAACAGCACAGAAAACAUUGUUUGAGCAGUGAAAGUGUGAUUCAAAGCAGAUUAUUUUAACAGCACCACGAGACAAACAUUUCAGCGGCACAGAGAACAGUGUUCAUGCAAGAUCCUUUGUAAGUGAACUUGGCGCAUGUGGCAUUCAACACAGCUGAGUGGGAUACCAAGCAUAAAACGGCACAGAAAAUAGACGCUGAUGAAGAACGGAUGUCCGAGGACCUUGCUGCUCAAAAAAUGAAGAUCUACAGCAUCAUGUCCAGCUCAGCAGAGGGGCCGAGCGAUGUUGGUGUCGUCAUUGAGGGAGUGAAAGUUCUCACCACUCUGGGUACCUUUGCCAGGGCUUGCUGCAUGCUCCUCGGGCUGACUUAUGCACUAAAUCUGGCCUACCCUAAGGAGCUCAGAUAUACAUUUGAAAUCUUCCAGAAGCUCCUUCUGGAGCUGGACUGUUCGAAGCAGUCCCCAAAGCUGCACACUUUGAAGAGUAAGUUGUUGGACUAAGGAAAUGCCGAACUGGACACUUGAGCUGAGGCGAUGCAAUGGACACUUGACUUCAGUUUUUCAGAACUUAAUGACUUAAAGAUUUACCUUUUAAUUUCUCCAAACACUACUUUUUCAAGCAGGUUGACACGCACAAAAAAGUCAAAUGUGUUAUGCCAUCAUCGGUUGAUUUGUUGAUAUCUGAUGUGUCUGUAGAUGUGUUUGAAGCUGUGAACGAAGCAUUAAUCUACUGUUAUAUCUACUGUGCCGUUAGCAAACUUAUGCUAAGACCGUGCGAUGGACACUUGAGCUGAGACAGUGCAAUGGACACUUGAGCUGAGGCAGUGCGAUGGACAGUGCAAUGGACACUUGAGCUGAAGCAGUGCAAUGGACACUUGAGCUGAGGCAGUGCGAUGGACAGUGCAAUGGACACUUGAGCUGAGACAGUGCAAUGGACACUUGAGCUGAAGCAGUGCGAUGGACAGUGCAAUGGACACUUGAGCUGAGACAGUGCAAUGGACACUUGAGCUGAGACAGUGCAAUGGACACUUGAGCUGAGGCAGUGCAAUGGACACUUGAGCUGAGGCAGUGCAAUGGACACUUACGCUUCUUCUAGAGUUCUUUAGUUCUUUAUUAGAGAUGCUCUGAUGCCUCCUCUUACAGGUCUUGCUUGCUCAAACUCUGUUUCUCUCGCUCGCUUGCUCGCUCACACACUAUCGCUGACACACACACACACACACACACACACACACACACACACUCACACGUUUGUGUAAUUGCAGGUACACAGUGAGGUCAUUACUUCUUCAUUAGAGCCUUUCAGGUGACUCCUUACACAGACCUCGCUCACUCUCUCGCGCACACACAAGAUUGUGCAUGCCUGUGAACUUCAGUUUUUUUUUUGUUUUGUUUUUUUACAUUUUUUUCUUUAUUUACAUAAACAUUGCACACGGUGCAUUCCUCUAAAACUUGUUUGUAUUUUGUGUGCACAAAUGAAUAUGCUUUUGUUUUUUUUUUUCUGUUGAGCAACCCAUUUUAGUGUUGCUAAAUUGAAGUGGGAAAGACAAAUAAAUGUUAUCUAAUU